GCUCAACCGGGGAGGGUCAUUGGAAACUGGGGAACUUGAGUGCAGAAGAGGAGAGUGGAAUUCCACGUGUAGCGGUGAAAUGCGUAGAGAUGUGGAGGAACACCAGUGGCGAAGGCGACUCUCUGGUCUGUAACUGACGCUGAGGCGCGAAAGCGUGGGGAGCGAACAGGAUUAGAUACCCUGGUAGUCCACGCCGUAAACGAUGAGUGCUAAGUGUUAGAGGGUUUCCGCCCUUUAGUGCUGCAGCAAACGCAUUAAGCACUCCGCCUGGGGAGUACGGUCGCAAGACUGAAACUCAAAGGAAUUGACGGGGGCCCGCACAAGCGGUGGAGCAUGUGGUUUAAUUCGAAGCAACGCGAAGAACCUUACCAGGUCUUGACAUCCUCUGACAACCCUAGAGAUAGGGCUUCCCCUUCGGGGGCAGAGUGACAGGUGGUGCAUGGUUGUCGUCAGCUCGUGUCGUGAGAUGUCGGGUUAAGUCCCGCAACGAGCGCAACCCUUGAUCUUAGUUGCCAGCAUUCAGUUGGGCACUCUAAGGUGACUGCCGGUGACAAACCGGAGGAAGGUGGGGAUGACGUCAAAUCAUCAUGCCCCUUAUGACCUGCGCUACACACGUGCUACAAUGGGCAGAACAAAG
rnacentral:rRNA from 1 species